UGACUUGGGUAGGUAGAGUGGCACCUGGUCCGUGGUGCCAGCCUCAUAUUAGUCUAGGGCGAAGCAAUUCCUCAUUUAUCCCAGCUUAGCUUUUGGUCCGUGCUGCUGCCUGGUUCAUGCCCUGGACACACAG